rnacentral:lncRNA from 1 species
UCAUCUGGGCUACUGGCUGAACACCCAUGGCUGUUGGGUUUCAGUCCCUCUUCCCCCUCCUCUUUUUCUUAUUCCGGAGGAGGAGCCAACUGCUCCUGAAGGUUCUGGGCGGUCAGAGUAUGACCUUGGGUGUUGCCAUGGGAAAAUGUUGGAAUCACAGGGCCCAAGGAGUAUUUGCUUUAAGAAGAGUCCAGACCUGGACACAGCCACUCUUGCGCCCAGCGACCUCUCCGGACAGCGCAGAGCGUGCAGAGCUAGGUGGCGCAGAGCUAGGUGGCGCGCAGCCGUGUGUAGGGUUCCGGACGCGCGCAUGUGCGUGUGCGCGCCACGGUAAGCACUGCCCCCAACCCACAGGCCAGCAGCUUGCGGUGCCAUCUGUCACCAGCCUCGCCCGGGCUGCUCCCUCUGAAUGGCUUUCCCUAAGACCAACCCGCUCGCCCUGUCGGACGCAAUCAGGUCACCCACUGCAGGACGCAGCCGGAAGUGCCCUCUAUUCCCAAACAGCACCGGUUCCAAGCUGCAAGCUGUCCUGGGUUCCCCCUGACGGCGUGCGCGCUCCACCAGGUCCAGGAACUCAGGACCCGGGGCCAGCAUCUUUUUAG